GCUGAUGUGGAAAAUACUAAUCCAUGCAUUAUAAGAUCUGACAUGAGUCAGCAACGUCUGAACUGUCUCACACCCAUCAGGACAGGACAGGCAGCAUUCCAUUCCAUGUACCUGUAGGUUAGGUGAUACAAAAAGGAAGAUGUGGAUCACUAACAUAAAAAUUGAUUGGUCAAAAUGAGAAUGACAUGAUAAUGGGCCAAUGGGGAAAAGUAGGUGGGAGGUGGGUACACUCUAGACUGACAGCGAACCGAAUGACACAAACAUGAACGAGAUGCGGUGUAGACAAGAAUAACAUUUCUGUCUUCAGUGGCAAACAAAAAUCCACAAUCGAACUUGGAAAUGCCAAGCCUUCUGGAGCAACCUGAAAGUGUCGUGAUGGAUCACUUUCCUAAGAAGAGGCCCCUGUCUGAAGGGAGCGAUGUGAACUCUCCCAGCAACACAGACAGUUCUUCUGAUAGAUGCCCUCCUGAGGAGGACGUGCCUGCUACAUCAAACAUAUCCCAGAGUGAGGAGAACGAGAACCACCAAUGUAAGAAGAGGCACCUAUCGCUGUCUGAGGAUCCUGUGUACCAUGAGGAUGAUGUGAACCCCGACACAAACGUUUUUUCGAACGGAGGGCCUCCUGAGGAGGAUAUGGAUGCUACAUCAACCAGAUCCCACAGUGAGGGGAUUGAGAUCCACCAGAGAGGAAGCCCCAGUCCUGUGAACAUCAACUUUCCAGACCAGUCAAUGGACCUCCCAAAUCAAGAAGGAAACGAAUUAUGUGAUACAAUUUACCUUUUACAAACAAAAGUUUGCAAUCAAAAGAUGAAUGCUAAAUAUACAUGGGCAUUCUUAAAGUCAACUGCUGAUGUGUUUGUUGCAAUUUUGGAACCUAACAAUAUAGAGAAUAUGGAAAACAAACCUCUUAUUAGUCAUACCGAAGAGUUACUUCUUGAGGAAGUGAAAAUAACGUUGGAAAACAAAGAGCAAUUGCAAAAUACAAAAUGUUCUAUGUAUUCGCUCAACGCUCCUUCGCAAAUUACAGGUCAUACAAUAACGGAUUUAGCAGAACUGAACAAGUAUGGCAUAACAACGAUUUUUACGGACUGUCCGACGGAAAACCAAAACAUCCCAAAUCAUUUUGAAAACGUUCCUGAAUUUCUUGAUAAGUACUACUCAUUACAAACAAAAGGUUGCAAACAAAAGUUUGAUACGCAACAUGCAUGGGCAUUUAUCGAGUCACCUUGUGGCGGAGAACCGGUUUUUGUUGGUUUAUUUAAAUUAGAAGAUUGCAAGAAGAUGUGCAAGGGCAAACCUUUAAAUAUUCAUACCGAAAAGUUACUUCUUGAGGAAGUAAAACAAAUAUUGAAAAACAAUGAGAAAUUGCGGAAUACUAAACUGUUUAUCUAUACGCUCAACUCUCCUUGUUUGCAAAAUUCAGGUCAUGAGUCAUGCAUGGAUUUACUGAUUAAGGAUUCAGCAGAACUGUACAAAUCUUAUAGUAUAAAAACUAUUGUUGGAUAUAGCAAAUGGUACGGUUCGACUGGACAGGUGACAACCUUUAUAGAUCCAUAUAUCAGCUCAUUCAAUCACUUUAAUUUGAUAAUCAGUAGUUCUAAUUAUGCGAACUAUUGUGAUGAAUUUGUAAUUUUUAACACUGAGCAUAACAAUAAGAAAAGCCGUGACUCUAAAUCUAAUUUUGAAGACAGCGCACUUCCCGAGCAACUUUAUAUUUUGAGUAAACAAUUUCUGCCCAAAAACAUUUCAGAAGUACCUUUCAGAUUGAAAAAGUUUAAAGACAUCCAUAAGCGUGUGACAAAUAAAUUUAUGUCAAUUAGCAAUUAUGAUAAAAAAAAUGUGAAAACUGAUAAGAAGAAAGAGAAAAGUCUUGACCUAGAUUUUUCCAUACCCCAUUUUGGAACUCUAAAUGAAUUCCAAGAAGUUGGAGAGUCUCUAGCUGAAAAAUUUGACUUGGUAAAACACAUUGGUAAUAACUUAGAUCAAUCUAAAGUAAAUUUCAUAAAAUGGUGGACUAAAACAAUUGCGGACGAAUAUACUACUUUUCUUCGAGAAGACAUUAAUAGACGACUUAGUGAAGAUAAACACAGAAUCGCAGUCCUCGAUCACAUCAGGAAUAACACUGCAGGAUAUUUACAGUUUUGUCACUUACCACUAAGCCCUUUCCACAAACUAUUUAAUUAAUACAUGCAGCAUAUUCAUUUGAGGUUGUGAGCUAAAGAUCAUUUUAUAUAUAUAUUUGAAUAAAUCAAAUUGUAUUGGUCAUACACAUGGUUAGCAUAUAUUAAUGUGAGUGUAGGGAAAUGCUUGUACUUCUAGUUCCGACUAUGCAGUAAUAUCUAACAAAUUCCCAACAACUACCUUAUACACACAAAGGUAAAGGGAUGAAUAGAAUAUGUACGCAUAAAUAUAUGGAUGAGUAAUGUGAGAGCGGCAUAGGCUUCGAUGCAACUGAUAGUAUAGAAUACACUAUAUACAUAUGAGAUGAGUAAUGUAGGAUAUGUAAACAUUAUUAAAGUGGCGUUAUUUAAAGUGACUAGUGAUACUCGGGAGAGGCAAAGGUCGAGAGCCAUGCGUCCUCCGAAACACAACCCAACCAAGCCGCACUGCUUCUUGACACAAUUUAACAGUCUGAUGGCCUUGAGAUAGGAGCUGUUUUUCAGUCUCUUGGACCCAGCUUUGAUGCACCUGUACUGACCUCGCCUUCUGGAUGAUAGCGGGGUGAACAGGCAGUGGCUCGGGUGGUUGUUGUCCUUGAUGAUUUUUUGGCCUUCCUGUAACAUUGGGUGCUUUAGCUGUCCUGCAGGGCAGGUAGUUUGCACCCAGUGAUGCGUUGUGCAGACCGCACUACCCUCUGGAGAGCCUUGCUGUUGAGGGCGGUGCAAUUGCCGUACCAGAUGGUGAUACAGCCCGACAGGAUGCUCUCGAUUGCGCAUCUAAAAGUUUUUGAGUGUUUUUGGUGACAACCCAAAUUUCUACAGCCUCCUGAGGUUGAAGAGGCGCUGUUGCGCCUUCUUCACCACCCUAUCUGUCUGUGUGGGUGGACCAUUUCAGUUUGUCCAUGAUGUGUACGCCGAGAAACUUAAAACAGACCCUCUGCUGUGGGAGAUCACACCUACUGACCCAAGGUGGUUGAGAAUGGUUAUGGGAGCUGGACACGCAGCGACUCAGACCCUCUGCUGUGGGAGAUCACACCUACUGACCCAAGGUGGUUGAGAAUGGUUAUGGGAGCUGGACACGCAGCGACUCAGACCCUCUGCUGUCAGAGAUCACGCCUACUGACCCAAGGUGGCUGAGAAUGGUUAUGGGAGCAGGACACGCAGCGACUCAGACCCUCUGCUGUCAGAGAUCACGCCUACUGACCCAAGGUGGCUAAGAAUGGUUAUGGGAGCAGGACACACAGCGACCCAGACCCUCUGCUGUGGGAGAUCACACCUACUGACCCAAGGUGGUUGAGAAUGUUUAUGGGAGCAGGACACGCAGCGACUCAGACCCUCUGCUGUGGGAGAUCACACCUACUGACCCAAGGUGGUUGAGAAUGGUUAUGGGGGCUGGAUAUCAUAAUGAUGUCUCCACUCCCCCAAUGGUGAAUUGCUGUACUCUAAACAUAUGCUUUAAUACUAAUAAAAAUAUAAUUGAUUUAAAAAAUUUAGUUUCCUCAUUUAACGCUGUAUGUGGAUUUUUUGUAUAUUCAGCUGUGGCCAAAAGUUUUCAAAAUGACACAAAUAUACAUUUUCACUAAGUCUGCUGCCUCAGUUUGUAUGAUGGCAAUUUGCAUAUACUCCAGAAUGUUAUGAAGAGUGAUCAGAUGAAUUGCAAUUAAUUGCAAAGUCCCUCUUUGCCAUGCAAAUGAACUGAAUCCCAAAAAACAUUUUCACUGCAUUUCAGCCCUGCCACAAAAGAACCAGCUGACAUCAUGUCAGUGAUUCUCUCAUUAACACAGGUGUGAGUGUUGACGAGGACAAGGCUGGAGAUCACUCUGUCAUGCUGAUUGAGUUCGAAUAACAGACUGGAAGCUUCAAAAGGAGGGUGGUGCUUGGAAUCAUUGUUCUUCCUUUGUCAACCAUGGUUACCUGCAAGGAAGCACGUGCCAUCAUCAUUGCUUUGCACAAAAAUGGCUUCACAGGCAAGGAAAUUGCUGCCAGUAAGAUUGCACCUAAAUCAACUAUUUAUCGGAUCAUCAAGAACUUCAAGGAAAACGGUUCAAUUGUUGUGAAGAAGGCUUUAGGGCGCCCAAGAAAGUCCAGCAAGCUUCAGGAGCAUCUCCUAAAGUUGAUUCAGCUGCGGGAUCGGGGCACCACCAGUACAGAGCUAUCUAUCAUUUUACUGAUUGAUAAAUACAAUAGGUCCUGGUAGGGGGGAAAAAAGUUACGUAAUCAAUACAAUUUUUUUCAAGUAGAAAGGAACAGUCAAGCUUCAGUAACUGUCAAAAGGGAAGUUCAAGAAAUAGUUUUUUGCUAAAAAGCUAUUUGUUUCUUUUUGACAAUUUUUAAAGCAAACUAUUACUUAUUAGUAUUUAUGCUGCAAUAGUUUGUGUUGGGGGCUAGGGAUAGUCUGUUAUAUUUGGAGUACUUCUCGUCUUAUCCGGUGUACUGUGUGAAUUUAAGUAUGCUCGCUCUAAUUCUCUCUUUCUCUUUCUUUCUUUCUCUCUGUCGGAGGACCUGAGCCCAAGGACCAUGCCUCAGGACUACCUGGCCUGAUGACUCCUUGCUGUCCCCAGUCCACCUGGUCAUGCUACUGCUCCAGUUUCAACUGUUCUGCCUGCGGCUAUGGAACCCUGACCUGUUUACUGGAUGUGCUACUUUGUCCCGGACCUGACUCUCUCUCUACUGCACCUGCUGUCUCUAACUCUGAAUGAUGGGCUAUGAAAAGCCAACUGACAUUUACUCCUGAGGUGCUGACCUGUUGCACCCUCUACAACCACUGUGAUUAUUAUUAUUUGGCCCUGCUGGUCAUCUAUGAACAUUUGAACAUCUUGGCCAUGUUCUGUUAUAAUCUCCACCCGGUACAGCCAGAAGAGGACUGGCCACCCCUCAUAGCCUGGUUCCUCUCUAGGUUUCUUCCUAGGUUCUGGCCUUUCUAGGGAGUUUUUCCUAGCCACCGUGCUUCUACACCUGCAUUCCUUGCUGUUUGGGGUUUUAGGCUGGGUUUCUGUACAACCCUUUGUGAAUACAUUUGAUUUAUUGAAUACACUUCGGCAUGUACUUCAAUGUUAUCAAGAAUUUAUUUGAAAAGCUAUUGAAAUAAAAACAGCUGCAUUGAAUAGAAUUUCACUAAACAAUUAUUAGUUACUAGUUAUUGGCAACAAGGUAAUAAAUACAUAAUUGAAAACUACUGAUAAAGAUUUAUUUUCUUUAUUAGUAGCAUUGUUAUUGGUAUAAGACUGGAGUGAGUGAGUAGUCGUGCUGUACUUCGCUCCGCGGGUAAUAUUACAUUUCAUUACAUUACAAUGGAACGAUUUGAUUAGUGUAAUGUUAGCUAGCUAGCUACAUAGUUGUCUUUGCUGUCUUUGUAUCAAGGAUAAAGGUGUAGCUAAAGGUGUAGCUUUGAGAAACUAACUUUGAGAAACUAACAAGGUUAGCUAGCCAGCUGUAUUCGUUCGCAGUUUUCCAAAUGGCGUCAACACCACAACACCACAGCCACUGCUAGCUAGCCAACUUUACCAACUAGCAGUACUGUGGAAACUAAAUACAUUACAACGGAACGAUUUGAUUAGUGUAAUGUUAGCUAGCUACAUAGUUGUCUUUGUAUCAAAGAUAAAGGUAAACGCAGCCACUGCUAGCUAGCCAACUCUACCAGCUAGCAGUACUGUAUCAUUUUUAGUCAAUAAGAUUUUUGCAAUGUUAGCUUAACUUUCUGAACUUUCGAGUUGUGUAGUCCACUUGUGUAGCUAGCAGGUCUGACUUUGUGUUAGCUAGCCAACGUUUAAUUACUUCUGCGUUAUGAAAGGAACUAGUCACGGACACGAAUGAUACAUUGGUAGUUUGUUGUAACCAAGUAUUGGUGCUAACCGCGUGUUAUUGGAUGCUAGCAUGCUAGUUAGCUAAGGCGUCAUAGGAUACGGUGCACUGGGUGGGUUUCACGGAAGAAGACUGUACCAAGUUAUCUAGCUGAAUAAACUAGGUUUGAGCCUAUUCCUGGAAACAUUGAACCACUGUAGUUUACAUCAAUUAUAAUUUCUAAAGUGGAAGUUGGAAAAGUUAUGUUUGAGUGUUUCAGUGAAUGGUUAGUGAGGGAGGCCCUGCUCUCUAACUUCCCCAGUUGUUUAGUUAAUUUUCAUUCCAAUCUCCUUUGCAUUAGCGUAGCCUCUCCUGUAGCCUGUCAACUAUGUGUCUGUCUAUCCCUGUUCUCUCCUCUCUGCACAGGCCACACAAACGCUUCACACCGCAUGGCCGCUGCCACUCUAACCUGGUGGUCCCAGCGCGCACGACCCCCUUGGAGUUGAAGGUCUCCGGCAGCCUCUGGAAUUGCCGGUCUGCGGCCAACAAGGCAGAGUUCAUCUCAGCCUAUGCUACCCUCCAGUCCCUCAACUUCUUGGCGCUGACGGAAACAUGGAUUACCACAGAAAACACUGCUACUCCUACUGCUCUCUCCUCGUCUGACCACGUGUUCUCGCAUACCCCGAGAGCAUCUGGUCAGCAGGGUGGUGGCACUGGAAUCCUCAUCUCUCCCAAGUGGACAUUCUCUCUUUCUCCCCUGACCCAUCUCCUCCUUUGAACUCCAUGCUGUCGAAGUCACUAGCCCAUUCAAGCUUAACAUCCUUAUCAUUUAUCGCCCUCCAGGUUCCCUUGGAGAGUUCAUCAAUGAGCUUGACGCCUUGAUAAGUUCCUUUCCUGAGGAUGGCUCACCCCUCACAAUUCUGGGUGACUUUAACCUCCCUACGUCUACCUUUGACUAAUUUCUCUCUGCCUCCUUCUUUCCACUCCUCUCCUCUUUUGACCUCACCCUCUCACCGUCCCCCCUACUCACAAGGCAGGCAAUACGCUUGACCUCAUCUUUACUAGAUGCUGUUCUUCCACUAAUCUCACUGCAACUCCCCUCCAAGUCUCCGACCACUACCUUGUAUCCUUUUCCCUCUCGCUCUCCUCCAACACUACUCACUCUGCCCCUACUCAGACGGUAUUGCGCCGUCGCAACCUUCGCUCUCUCUCUCCUGCUACUCUCACCUCUUCCAUCCUAUCAUCUCUUCCCUCUGCUCAAUCCUUCUCCAACCAAUCUCCUGAUUCUACCUCCUCAACCCUCCUCUCCUCCCUUUCUGCAUCCUUUGACUCUCUAUGUCCCCUUUCCUCCCAGCCGGCUCGGUCCUCCCCUCCUGCUCCGUGGCUUGACGACUCAUUGCGAGCUCACAGGACAGGGCUCCGGGCAGCCGAGCGGAAAUGGAGGAAAGCUAGCCUCCCUGCGGACCUGGCAUCUUUUCACUCCCUCCUCUCUACAUUUUCUUCCUCUGUUUCUGCUGCUGAAGCCACUUUCUACCACUCUAAAUUCCAAGCAUCUGCCUCUAACCCUAGGAAGCUCUUUGCCACCUUCUCCUCCCUCCUGAAUCCUCCUCCCCCUCCCCCCAUCCUCCCUCUCUGCGGAUGACUUCGUCAACCAAUUUUGAAAAGAUGGUUGACGACAUCCGAUCCUCGUUUGUUAAGUCAAACAACAGCGCUGGUCCUGCUCACAUUACCCUACCCUAUGCUUUGACCUCUUUCUCCCCUCUCUCUCCAGAUGAAAUCUUGCGACUUGUGACGGCCGGCCGCCCAACAACCUGCCCGCUUGACCCUAUCCCCUCCUCUCUUCUCCAGACCAUUUCCGGAGACCUUCUCCCUUACCUCACCUCGCUCAUCAACUCAUCCUUGAACGCUGGCUACGUCCCUUCUGUCUUCAAGAGAGCGAGAGUUGCACCCAUUCUCAAAAAACCUACACUCGAUCCCUCCGAUGUCAACAACUACAGACCAGUAUCCCUUCUUUCUUUUCUCUCCAAAACUCUUGAGCGUGCCGUCCUUGGCCAGCUCUCUUGCUAUCUCUCUCAGAAUGACCUUCUUGAUCCAAAUCAGUCAGGUUUCAAGACUGGUCAUUCAACUGAGACUGCUCUUCUCUGUGUCACGGAGGCUCUCCCCACUACUAAAGCUAACUCUCUCUCCUCUGCUCUCAUCCUUCUAGACCUAUCUGCUGCCUUUGAUACUGUGAACCAUCAGAUCCUCCUCUCCACCCUCUCCGAGUUGGGCAUCUCCGGCGUGGCUCACUCUUGGAUUGCGUCCUACCUGACAGGUCGCUCCUACCAGGUGGCGUGGUAGGAGCGAGGUUCUAGGCCCUCUCCUAUUCUCGCUAUACACCAAGUCACUUGGCUCUGUCAUAUCCUCACAUGGUCUCUCCUAUCAUUGCUACGCAGAUGACACACAAUUAAUCUUCUCCUUUCCACCUUCUGAUAACCAGGUGGCGAAUCGCAUCUCUGCAUGUCUGGCAGACAUAUCAGUGUGGAUGACGGAUCACCACCUCAAGCUGAACGUCGGAAAGACGGAGCUGCUCUUCCUCCCAGGGAAGGACUGCCCGUUCCAUGAUCUCGCCAUCACGGUUGACAACUCCAUUGUGUCCUCCUCCCAGAGUGCUAAGAGCCUUGGCGUGACCCUGGACAACAGCCUGUCAUUCUCCGCUAACAUCAAGGCGGUUCAUGCUCUACAACAUUCGCAGAGUACGACCCUGCCUCACACAGGAAGCGGCGCAGGUCCUAAUCCAGGCACUUGUCAUCUCCCGUCUGGAUUACUGCAACUCGCUGUUGGCGGGGCUCCCUACCUGUGCCAUUAAACCCCUACAACUCAUCCAGAACGCCGCAGCCCGUCUGGUGUUCAACCUUCCCAAGUUCUCUCACGUCACCCCGCUCCUCCGCACACUCCACUGGCUUCCAGUUGAAGCUCGCAUCUGCUACAAGACCAUGGUGCUUGCCUACGGAGCUGUGAGGGGAACGGCACCUCCGUACCUUCAGGCUCUGAUCAGUCCCUACACCCAAAGAAGGGCACUGCGUUCAUCCACCUCUGGCCUGCUCGCCUCCCUACCUCUGCAGAAGCACAGUUCCCGCUCAGCCCAGUCAAAACUGUUCGCUGCUCUGGGACCCCAAUGGUGGAACAAGCUCCCUCACGACGCCA
rnacentral:lncRNA from 1 species